GAUUGUGUUGCCAUUGAAGGUCCACUCGAUGUAGGGCAGCUUAUUGGGACUGGCGGGGCGCUGGGUACUGAAGAUGAUGUUGUCACCCGGGUUGACCUCUGUCUUCCGUUCCUUGUUCGGGCCUAAAAUACUGACAUUACGUUACAGGAGAAGCAGCCGACGACAUUUACCGGGUAGGAGGAACGCAAGAGCCGUCCACAGCAGAGGGUUCAUGAGCUUCUUCAUCGUCGUCGUCUUCUUGUGGAACCAAGCGCCAGCUGCUCAACCAAAGGGAGUCAAAGAGGCAAUUUCCUGCCUGGUGUGGAGCCAAGUGAUAUGCAGAAACGGCGGCAGCGGCAACUGCACAUGUGUCAAAAUGAAAUAAAGCCAAGUGGCGUAAGCAGUCUUCCAUGGCCUGCAGUUCCUGCACUUCAGGGCAGAGGGCGCCGCAGUGCAAGCUGAGGAUCCGGCGGGCCUCGGGGAUGACGGUCAGGGCCAACGUUCUUGACCCGCUGCGGGCACGGCGCCGCCAGGAGACAGGCCGCCUCGUCCAAGUCGCACCCGACAUCCCGCAGCAUUUGGCUCAGCUCGCCGCCGGACCAAGCGCCGCCGCACGAAGCGCACAAAUGGCCGUCUUCGCCAGAAAGCUGAUUGACAGGUGAUAUGCAACGGGACGAAACAGCUAAAACUGGACGCUACAAAUGAGGGAAUCUCUUACCGAGAGGGAAAGGUCGCACCGGGCACACAAAAAUCCAAAUUGUCUGUCUGGCGACCGCUCCUGGUCACCAUCCUCGCAGGCCUCACAGCGACAUUGGAAGAAGUACUGCUCCUGUAGCAGGCGCUGCCGCUCCCCGGCGACCAUUCGACUGCUGUGGGGACCUGAGUGAAAACCGGCGAGACAAAAACAUCGGCCGCUCUCAGUCGAGUUAAGUAAAUGCAAACAUUUUUGGAAAAUCCCAAAUGAUCAAAACCCGGUUUGACCAUAGCAGUGGGCGACUUCCUGUCCGGGCCGGAUGCUUCGGGCCGCUCGCAGCGUGACGGCGCCGCCUGCACCGAAGCUCAAGCUGGUGUUGGGCCGGCACGAAUGGUUGAGGAGACUCAGCGUCGGGAAGACGGCCGUGGCGAGCCGUCGUUCCUCAAUGGACUGCACGGGAUCGUCUGACAAACCUGAAGCCAAACAAUCUUGAUUAGGAGAGGUCUGAAGUUCCUCAUCGCAAAAUACUCUGCAGACAGGUACGGGAAGCGACUGGUCGCCGGGCGUCACCUGGUUGCUGCAGCACGGUUACGGCCUGCGCGUUGCAGCGCAGCUGCAGCAGAUGCCUCAGCGCCGCACCGGCCAGCAGCCGCCACGCUGCGUCCUUCUUGCCGCCCUCCGUUUGCCCCCUCGCCGGCGGCGCUCCCGUCCCGCCGAGCUCUGUGUGCAGCGUCGCCACGGUGACGGCGCACAGAAAGCACAUGCUGGCGCCCUGCUGAUCCGCAUGGUGCAGCAGGCGGAAGACACCUGCGUAGGCCGUGUCGGCCGGGCCCCCAGUGACGGCGGCGCGGAUGUUGACCGUGCCCGCCUUGAGCGCCACCCUCAGUGCCAAGUGUGACAGGACGCCGGUGGACGUCAAACAAGCGCCCAGCGGGCACUCCCAACGAUGGUGCUCCUCCCAGGCGGCAUCCCUGCAGCGGGCGUCGCAGUAGCGGGCAUAGGAGCACCCGUCGCACGGGACCGGUCGCCACGUGGCCUUCAGGCACGCGUGGCAGCGACGGCGCUGUGACCCGAAGACGCCGCCGCUUGCCACCAGGACCAAGCCGUACGGCCUCUCGCUCAAGAUCACCUCCCCGGCCGCGAUGGCCUCUGACGCCACCGCGUGGCGUCCUUUCUCCGGGCUGAAGCCAACAGUCACUUUCGGAGACAUGCCCGGGUGGCGCUCGUCUAGGUCCGCGCGGGCGGCCUCUGAGGAUGGAAGGCGCGCCAGGCAUUGCGCACGGCGUUUCUCCAGCUUGUGCGCUAGAGCCGGCGGGUAGCCGCUCUUCUCGGCUUCCGACACGUCGUCCAGAGCGUCCUGAGGGGCACAAACACUAAUUGGCCACCAGUCUAGUCUUAGCCUCUCUAUUAGCGGCAGUUGAACUGCUCUUACUUGGUAGCGCCGCAGGUGGUAAAGUGCCGCAGAGCGAUUGGCGUAGCACAGCGACAGCUGCUCCGAACUUCGGGGGGCCAAGCAAAUGCCCUGCGGUGGCGGGAGACAAUUCACGGACAGUCAUUAAGACGGAAAAGACAAAUAAUGAAGACAUAGUGAUGGUAUAAAUGAGCAACCUGUGAGUAGUGUAGGGCCGCAUCAGUGUACUUCCCGCUCUUGAAGUCAGCAUUUCCGUUCUCUCUGCACGAGGACGCCUCUUCGGGGUCCUUUCGUGUGUGACCAUGUCCUUCCGCCGAGAUGCGACGCAGACACUCCACAUCGUCCUCCCUGAAAACAAAGUGGCGCAUGGAGACGGUAAAACACAAGUCAUGGGCUUUACACUGAAAGGUCUUGACAAAUAUGUACUAUAAACGCAGAAUGGUGUGUUAUACUGCCCCCUGGUGUGCACAACGGAAAGAGCAGCACCAUGAAUUUGAACAUGACGCGCAAGCAAAAUUUGUCUGAAUCUCCAAUGGUUAUAUAUUUUGUCUCAAAAAUCAAAAUAAAAUAAAUCCACUGGAUCC